AUGUACCCACGUACAUUCCGGUUCCUCCGCGCCGUCCGCACCCACCUGACGACUGCUCGCUACGUUUGUUAGUC
rnacentral:sRNA from 1 species